AAUUCGGGCGGUUGGCGGUUAAAUCAAUAAAAAUAUUUAUAAAUAUUUUUAUUUUAUAUAUUAUAAAUAUUUUUUAUUUUAUUAUUUAUUUUCUUUAAAGUUAUUUUCCCAGCAAACUGGCCUGUUCCCCUAGAGCAGGGGAACCGUAUGGGGAAUCCAAGUUGAAACAACUUGCCCAAAGGUUCAGACUUAAUGAAAAUUCUUGAAGGCUAUAGGGAUUUUAAGGAUAACUCAAGCAUCAUUCCAGAAAACCUUGCACCACUCCUGAAUAUCGACCAUCUCAUUCCAGUUAGCACUGCUGAGUGUGAGAGGGGGUUCAGCUUAAUGAACAUCAUAGUGUGCCCCCUGAGAUGCAGUCUGCACUUCAUGGUCACAGUGUCGUCCUUGAUGUUUAUUCAAAUGAAUGGCCCACCACUCACAAAGUUCAAUCAAACACGUAUGUGAAGUCCUUUGCUGGCACAGGGGAGCCAUGAACCCCAGAACACACCCCUGCAAGGCAGGACCUGACGUGGAGGACAAGGAGGCCCUCUGGGCACUACUGUGAAAAGCAUGCAUACCUACACAUACAUACAUACACAUACACACAUGCCAUAGAUAUAGUUCUUAAUAUACACAUACCUUUCUUUACUGUUGAAAUUUGAAUAACUUGAAUAAACUACAAACACAUUAAUUGACUGCCAUUGAUUGAUUUAAUAUGACUUUAAUUGAUAACAUAAUGGAAUAUAGCCAGGCUAGCCUUACAGAGUCGCAACACUUUGCGUUGCGUUGCGUUGUGUCGAGGUCGGUCUGAUCACAAAAUUCAUAGUUUACCCACCUCUAAUUUGACCACUACAGCCCUGAUUGUAGUGAAA